GACGAACGCUGGCGGCGUGCUUAACACAUGCGAGUCGAACGGAAAGGCCCUGCUUUUGUGGGGUGCUCGAGUGGCGAACGGGUGAGUAACACGUGAGUAACCUGCCCCUGACUUUGGGAUAACUUCAGGAAACUGGGGCUAAUACCGGAUAGGAGCUCCUGCUGCAUGGUGGGGGUUGGAAAGUUUCGGCGGUUGGGGAUGGACUCGCGGCUUAUCAGCUUGUUGGUGGGGUAGUGGCUUACCAAGGCUUUGACGGGUAGCCGGCCUGAGAGGGUGACCGGCCACAUUGGGACUGAGAUACGGCCCAGACUCCUACGGGAGGCAGCAGUGGGGAAUAUUGCACAAUGGGCGGAAGCCUGAUGCAGCAACGCCGCGUGCGGGAUGACGGCCUUCGGGUUGUAAACCGCUUUCGCCUGUGACGAAGCGUGAGUGACGGUAAUGGGUAAAGAAGCACCGGCUAACUACGUG
rnacentral:rRNA from 1 species